AUUGAACGCUGGCGGCAUGCCUUACACAUGCAAGUCGAACGGCAGCACGGGUGCUUGCCCCUGGUGGCGAGUGGCGAACGGGUGAGUAAUACAUCGGAACAUGUCCUGUAGUGGGGGAUAGCCCGGCGAAAGCCGGAUUAAUACCGCAUACGAUCUACGGAUGAAAGCGGGGGACCUUCGGGCCUCGCGCUAUAGGGUUGGCCGAUGGCUGAUUAUCUAGUUGGUGGGGUAAAGGCCUACCAAGGCGACGAUCAGUAGCUGGGCUGAGAGGACGACCAGCCACAAUGGAACUGAAACACGGCCCAGACUCCUACGGGAGGCAGCAGUGGGGAAUGUUGGACAAUGGGCGAAAGCCUGAUCCAGCAAUGCCGCGUGUGUGAAGAAGGCCUUCGGGUUGUAAAGCACUUUUGUCCGGAAAGAAAUCCUUGGCCCUAAUACGGUCGGGGGAUGACGGUACCGGAAGAAUAAGCACCGGCUAACUACGUG
rnacentral:rRNA from 1 species